AAUGAAUGUGUCACUGAUAUGGUAAAAUACUUUUGAGUUUUAUUAGACGUAAAUGGUUUUAUUAGGAAAUUAAUUGUUGUCAAGUGAAACAAAGAUUCAGCUCGUAUGGAUAUUGGUUACGGCCAUUUGGAAGAACAAUCGUAAAAGCCACCAGAGGUUGUAAAACUGGAUGUGAAGGCUCAAGUUUUAUCUUAUUUUCUGAAGUGCAAUACGACGAUGGGAUUAAUAUGAGGAAAAUGCAGAGAUGUAUGAAGAUUUAAGGAAAUUUUAGAAAAUUUUGAUUUUUUGAACACAGGAUAUUUUCGGAAUACCAAGAAGUUCCUGAAGAUUUUAA